AUUGAACGCUGGCGGCAUGCUUUACACAUGCAAGUCGAACGGUAACAGGCCUUCGGGUGCUGACGAGUGGCGAACGGGUGAGCAAUGCAUCGGAACGUGCCCAGAGGUGGGGGAUAACGCAGCGAAAGCUGUGCUAAUACCGCAUGUGAUCUGAGGAUGAAAGCGGGGGACCAGGCAGCAAUGUUUGGCCUCGCGCCUUUGGAGCGGCCGAUGUCAGAUUAGGUAGUUGGUGGGGUAAAGGCCUACCAAGCCGACGAUCUGUAGCUGGUCUGAGAGGACGACCAGCCACACUGGGACUGAGACACGGCCCAGACUCCUACGGGAGGCAGCAGUGGGGAAUUUUGGACAAUGGGCGCAAGCCUGAUCCAGCAAUGCCGCGUGCGGGAAGAAGGCCUUCGGGUUGUAAACCGCUUUUGUACGGAACGAAAAGGCUCUGGCUAAUACCUGGGGCUGAUGACGGUACCGUAAGAAUAAGCACCGGCUAACUACGUG
rnacentral:rRNA from 1 species